AUUGAACGCUGGCGGAAUGCCUUACACAUGCAAGUCGAACGGCAGCACGGACUUCGGUCUGGUGGCGAGUGGCGAACGGGUGAGUAAUAUAUCGGAACGUGCCCAGUCGUGGGGGAUAACGUAGUGAAAAUUACGCUAAUACCGCAUACGAUCUAUGGAUGAAAGCGGGGGAUCGCAAGACCUCGCGCGAUUGGAGCGGCCGAUAUCAGAUUAGGUAGUUGGUGGGGUAAAGGCCCACCAAGCCAACGAUCUGUAGCUGGUCUGAGAGGACGGCCAGCCACACUGGAACUGAGACACGGUCCAGACUCCUACGGGAGGCAGCAGUGGGGAAUUUUGGACAAUGGGCGAAAGCCUGAUCCAGCCAUUCCGCGUGCAGGAUGAAGGCCCUCGGGUUGUAAACUGCUUUUGUACAGAACGAAAAGGUUUCUACUAAUACUAGGAGCUCAUGACGGUACUGUAAGAAUAAGCACCGGCUAACUACGUGCCAGCAGCCGCCGCAG
rnacentral:rRNA from 1 species